UUAGAUCGUAAAUCGUAAAAUCAGAUUGUGCCUAAACCCUUCUUUUGUUUUGAACCCUUCUCCUAUGUUUUGAACCCUUCUCUCACUGUUUCUCAUCGUUGUCGUCCCCCUCUUGAACGAUCAGAGUCAUCAUCGUCCUCCUCUCAGACUCGUCACCGUCCCCCUCUCAGAUUCGUCACCGUCCCCCUCUCAGACUCGUCACCGUCCCCCUCUCGAACUCGUCGCUGUUCAGUGUCACCGUCAUCGAACCCCUCUCGAACCGUCCCCUUCUCGAACCCGCGCUCUCAUCUAUGGUCGCUGUCUCACUCUCAAGAACUGCUGCCAUCGUGUGGUAAAAACUCUUCGCCCUAGGAAGAAAAAACUAUCUACUUGGCCUGCACAUUUAGAAAUUUUCCCUGUAAGUCAUUUUCCUUGCUGCAAUCAUUGACUUGCUAUGUGAUUAUUGUGUUAGAAGGUUGAACAUAUAUGAAGUUGCAUGUGGAUCUGUGAUCUGUCAAUAUUUCAGUAUAUUUCUAGUGCUGCAGUACCUGUUUAAUAUUAUUUUUUCUCAUUUUAUCCUCAUAAGUUGUAAUAACACCCCUUUCUUGUAAUUAAGAAGUUGAAUUUCAAUUUCAACCGAUUAUUUUUGGACCUUCGCA